rnacentral:rRNA from 1 species
UACGUAGGUGGCAAGCGUUGUCCGGAUUUAUUGGGCGUAAAGCGCGCGCAGGCGGCUAUGUAAGUCUGGUGUUAAAGCCCGGGGCUCAACCCCGGUUCGCAUCGGAAACUGCGUAGCUUGAGUGCAGAAGAGGAAAGCGGUAUUCCACGUGUAGCGGUGAAAUGCGUAGAGAUGUGGAGGAACACCAGUGGCGAAGGCGGCUUUCUGGUCUGUAACUGACGCUGAGGCGCGAAAGCGUGGGGAGCAAACAGG